rnacentral:rRNA from 1 species
GACGAACGCUGGCGGCGUGCUUAACACAUGCAAGUCGAACGGAAAGGCCCUGCUUUUGUGGGGUGCUCGAGUGGCGGACGGGUGAGUAACACGUGAGUAACCGGACCUAGACUUUGGGGUAACUUCAGGAAACUAGGGCUAAUACCGGAUAGGAGCUCAUGCUGCAUGGUAGGGGUUGGAAAGUUUAGGCGGUGGGGGAUGGACUCGCGGCUUAUCAGCUUGUUGGUGGGGGAGUGGCUUACCAAGGCUUUGACGGAUAGCCGGCCUGGGAGGGUGACCGGCCACAUUGGGACUGAGAUAGGGCCCAGACUGCUACGGGGGGCAGCGGUGGGGAACAUGACACAAUGGGCGGAAGCCUGAUACAACGACGCCGGGGGCGGAAUGACGGCCUUCGGGGAGUAAACCGCUUUAGCCUGUGACGAAGCGUGAGUGACGGUAAUGGAUAAAGAAGCACCGGCUAACUACGUG